rnacentral:rRNA from 1 species
UACGAAGGGGGCUAGCGUUGCUCGGAAUCACUGGGCGUAAAGCGCACGUAGGCGGAUUCUUAAGUCAGGGGUGAAAUCCUGGAGCUCAACUCCAGAACUGCCUUUGAUACUGAGAAUCUCGAGUUCGGGAGAGGUGAGUGGAACUGCGAGUGUAGAGGUGAAAUUCGUAGAUAUUCGCAAGAACACCAGUGGCGAAGGCGGCUCACUGGCCCGAAACUGACGCUGAGGUGCGAAAGCGUGGGGAGCAAACAGG